CCUACGGGUGGCAGCAGUGGGGAAUAUUGGACAAUGGGCGAAAGCCUGAUCCAGCCAUGCCGCGUGUGUGAAGAAGGCCUUCGGGUUGUAAAGCACUUUCAGUGGGGAAGAAAGCCUUGGGGCUAAUACCCUCGAGGAAGGACAUCACCCACAGAAGAAGCACCGGCUAACUCCGUGCCAGCAGCCGCGGUAAUACGGAGGGUGCGAGCGUUAAUCGGAAUUACUGGGCGUAAAGCGCGCGUAGGCGGUCUGAUAAGCCGGUUGUGAAAGCCCCGGGCUCAACCUGGGAACGGCAUCCGGAACUGUCAGGCUAGAGUGCAGGAGAGGAAGGUAGAAGUCCCGGUGUAGCGGUGAAAUGCGUAGAGAUCGGGAGGAAUACCAGUGGCGAAGGCGGCCCUCUGGACUGACACUGACGCUGAGGUGCGAAAGCGUGGGUAGCAAACAGGAUUAGAUACCCGAGUAGUC
rnacentral:rRNA from 1 species